rnacentral:rRNA from 1 species
CCUACGGGUGGCAGCAGUGAGGAAUAUUGGUCAAUGGACGAGAGUCUGAACCAGCCAAGUAGCGUGAAGGAUGACUGCCCUAUGGGUUGUAAACUUCUUUUAUAUGGGAAUAAAACGUUCCACGUGUGGGAUUUUGUAUGUACCAUAUGAUUAAGGAUCGGCUAACUCCGUGCCAGCAGCCGCGGUAAUACGGAGGAUCCGAGCGUUAUCCGGCUUUAGUGGGUUGAAAGGGAGCGUAGAUGAGUUGUUAAGUCAUGUGUGAAAGUUUGCGGCUCAACCGUAAAAUUGCAAUUGAUACUGGUAGGCUUGAGUACAGUUGAGGUAGGCGGAAUUCGUGGUGUAGCGGUGAAAUGCUUAGAUAUCACGAAGAACCCCGAUUGCGAAGGCAGCUUACUAAACUGUGACUGACACUGAUGCUCGAAAGUGUGGGUAUCAAACAUGAUUAGAUACCCUAGUAGUC